rnacentral:rRNA from 1 species
UACAGAGGUCUCAAGCGUUGCUCGGAAUCACUGGGCGUAAAGGGUGCGUAGGCGGGUCUUUAAGUCAGGGGUGAAAUCCUGGAGCUCAACUCCAGAACUGCCUUUGAUACUGAGGAUCUUGAGUUCGGGAGAGGUGAGUGGAACUGCGAGUGUAGAGGUGAAAUUCGUAGAUAUUCGCAAGAACACCAGUGGCGAAGGCGGCUCACUGGCCCGGUACUGACGCUGAGGUGCGAAAGCGUGGGGAGCAAACAGG